rnacentral:rRNA from 1 species
GUGCCAGCAGCCGCGGUAAUACGUAGGGUGCGAGCGUUAAUCGGGAUUACUGGGCGUAAAGCGUGCGCAGGCGGAUUGUUAAGCAAGAUGUGAAAUCCCCGGGCUUAACCUGGGAAUGGCAUUUUGAACUGGCAGUCUAGAGUGUGUCAGAGGGGGGUGGAAUUCCACGUGUAGCAGUGAAAUGCGUAGAUAUGUGGAGGAACACCAAUGGCGAAGGCAGCCCCCUGGGAUAACACUGACGCUCAUGUACGAAAGCGUGGGUAGCAAACAGGAUUAGAUACCCUGGUAGUCCACGCCCUAA